GUGAAAUGCUUACUUACAAUGCAGUGUUAAGAAAAUAUUUACUAAAUACAAAAGUUUAAAAAAAAUAACACUGUCAAAUAACAAUAACGAGGCUAUAUACAGGGGGUACCGGUACCGAGUCAAAUAUGCAGGGGUACAGGUUAUUCGAGCCUAUUGUACGUAUUGAACAUUCAUUUAGCAUGCCUUACCUAUGGCUCUUGGGUCCAUGAAAUGGGGCAUCAGCCUACUCAGUGACACCAACAGAACACAGCUGUGAAGAGAUUUUCACAAAUGUUAGCGUCCGAGCUCUUAUUGUAGGGCUCUGAAACCACUGUGAAAUGAGACACAAAAGAUCACCAGUAAACCUACUAUGUGGUUUCACAGUCCCACAAAGAGCUACAACGUUAUUUAUAUAAAAGUUUCAGAAUUGUAAUCUGUUGGAGUAACUGAGUAGGCUGAUACCUAUGGAUCUUGGAUCCAUGAAACGGGGUAAGGAUGCAUUUUAAAUGGUUUAUUUUAUGGCUUCUAUUUCUUGUGGAACUUGACAAAGAACAGCUGGGGACAGGGCAAAAACUCCUACAUCAACUGAAAUAAAAUACUUGUUCAAAAUGCAUACAAUUCCAUUCAAUAUUCAUAUUUAGUGGUUUUAAGGUAAAAGGACACCUUACCUGAUAUUGAAAGCCUUUUGGAAUCCAGAUUUUACACUAUUUUACACUAAGUAGUGAUAUUUCCUGGUGACAGAAAAGGCACCAUUUAGGAGGAAUGAGCCAAUUAUUUUAUUUUGUGGAAAUUAUAUAACAUUCCGACCUUGUUUAGCAUUCAUUAUAUUGUCCAAAUAUGGCAUAUGGUAUCCGUUUGAAUCGCUUUCAAUGAGGGACUUUUAUUUUGAAGGCGAACCACAAAUUCCACAAUUGUGGCUAAUCCUUAUUGUGGCUAGCUUCACACAGGUGAGAGGACCUUUCCUAUAAACUUGGAGCCAAAUACGGGAGUGUUCAUUGACUCCCAACAUCCAUGCCAUCGCAUCACUACACACCAGACAAUUCUACCGUCCACAGUGAAAUGGCAAGAAAAACGGACGUCCCUUCCCUUUAUUACGCCAGCACCCCCAUCUCCUUACAUCUCUGUUUUCGUUCUGCGUCAGACGGUCUCAAAGGCUCGCGUUGACAGCCGCUCUCUCUCUCUCUCCGCGUGUUCUUCCGAAGCCCUGGAGGCCUUGUCUCUCUCCUGAGGCGACCCCUCCCCCAGCGACGCCUCUAGCUGGAACAGAGACACACUGCACACCCACCAGAGCACUCAUUCACAAUCAAUCAAACCUCAGCAGGACAAUGAUGAUGGUGACAGGUAGGAUGUAGGUCCCCGUCUUCCCACUGGGCACAGACAUCACGUUUGUUCAAUGUAAUUUAAUUGAAAUGACAUGGAAACAACAUUGAUACAACUUGUGUGUGUGUGUGUGUGUCCGUCCGUCCGUCCAGUGGGUUAUCUCUUCACUUAGGUUGUCUCAAGACUUUCAAUUCAUCCAUGUUGAAAUUUUGUGUGAUAGGGACUAUGAUUGACAGGGAUGAUGUAAGUGAGAGCUGGAGUUGCUGAUGUUUCAGAUUGUCAACACUUUCUUGGCUUUGGGAAACACAGACGUAUGCACAUCCACGCACAAACACACGCCUCUGUCUUGUGUAUACACAUUUUGAGUGACGAUGCCAGAG
ensembl:lncRNA